CCCUUAGAUGUUCUGGGCCGCACGCGCGCUACACUGAUGCAUUCAACGAGUUUCUUCCUGGUCCGAGAGGAAUGGGUAACCUUUUGAAAGUGCAUCGUGAUAGGGAUAGACUAUUGCAAUUAUUGGUCUCCAACGAGGAAUUCCUAGUAAACGCAAGUCAUCAGCUUGCAUUGAUUACGUCCCUGCCCUUUGUACACAUUGCCCGUCGCACCUACCGAUUGAAUGGUCCGGUGAAAUCUUCGGAUUGAGACUUUGUUUUCUUCACGGAAAACGCUGUUUUAAAAAGUUGAUUAAACCUUACCAUUUAGAGGAAGGUGAAGUCGUAACA
rnacentral:rRNA from 1 species